rnacentral:lncRNA from 1 species
GACUCAAUGAUCUUUGAGGAUGUGGCUGUGAACUUCACCCAGGAGGAGUGGGCUUUGCUGGGUCCUUCCCAGAAGAAACUCUACAGAGAUGUGAUGUGGGAAAUCAUCAGGAACCUGAUGUCUGUAGAAAUCAUAUGGCAGAGAGACUCUGUGAAUGUAAAGAUGGUCAAUGUGGAGAAACUUUCAGCCUGAUUCCAGAUGGUAUAAUGAACAAGAAGACUCUUCCUGGGGUGAAACCAUGUGAAAGCAGUGUGUGUGGAGAAGGCAACAUGGAUCAUUCAUCUCUGAAUUGCUACAUCAGAGCUGACACUGGACACAAAUCAUAUGAGUGUCAGGAACGUGGAGAGAAGCCACAUAAAUGUAAGCAGUGUGUGAAAACCUUCAGCUGCCUCCACUCCUUCCAAACACAUGAAAAGCCUCACACUGGAGAGAAACCCUAUGAUUGUAAGGAAUGGGAAAAAACCUUUGUUUCUCCCCAAACUGUUCGAAGAUACAGGGUCGUGCACAGUGGAGAUGGACCUUAUAAAUGUAAGUUUUGUGGGAAAGCCUUUGAUAAUCUCAGUUUAUAUCUCACACAUGAAAGAUCUCAUACUGGACAGAAGCCAUAUGAAUGUAAUGAAUGUGGGAAAGCCUUUGGUUUUCCCAGCUCCUUUCAUAGACAUGAAAGAACGCACACCAGGGAGAAACCAUAUGGAUGUAAGCAAUGUGGGAAAACCUUUAGUUGUUCCAGUUCCAUUAAAAAACAUGAAAGAAUCCACACUGGAGAGAAGCCCUAUGAAUGCAAGCAAUGUGGGAAAGCCUUCGCUUCUUCCAAUUCCUUUCAGUAUCAUGAAAGGACUCACACUGGAGAGAAACCCUAUGAAUGUAAGCAAUGUGGGAAAGCCUUUAAUUGUUCCAGUUCCAUUAGAAAACAUGCAAGAAUUCACACUGGAGAGAAACCCUAUAUAUGUAAACAAUGUGGUAAAGCUUUUAGAUUUCCCAGUUCUAUUAAAAAUCAUGAAAAGACUCAUACUGGAGAGAAACCCUAUGAAUGUCAGGAAUGUGGGAAAGCCUUCAGAUAUUCCAGUUCACUUCGAGUACAUAAAAGAAUUCACACUGGAGAGAAGCCGUAUGAAUGUGAGGACUGUGGGAAAGCCUUCAGUCAUCCCACGACCUUUCAUAGACAUAAAAUUACCCACACUGCAGAGAAACCUUAUGAAUGUCAGGAAUGUGGGAAAGCCUUAAAGAACUCACACUUGAGAAAAACAAUGAUGUUAGGAACAUGGGAAGCCUUUCCUUUCUCUCUCAAUCGUUUGAAGGCAUACAAUGUGACAUGCUGGCGAUAGAUCUCAUAACUGUAAGGAACAUGGAAAACGAUUCUUGUUUUCCAUGCUCCUUGUUUAUUUUAGAUACAUGAAAGAAUUUACUCUGGAGAGAAACUAUGAGUGUAAAAAAUGUGGUAAAGCCUUGUGUAGUUUCUGUUUCUCUGAAAUACUGUCAUGUCCUGGUAUUCUCAGGGGAUUACUUGCAGGCACCCCGCUCCCCACUUCAGAACAUCUAAAUCUGAAGAUGCUCAAGUGCUUUAUAUAAAAUGGUGUAUUUUCCUAGAACCUAAGCACAUCCUCUUGUACACUUUAAAUCAUCUCUAGGUUAUAAUGCCUAAUGCAUUGUAAACGAUAUAAAAAUAGUUGUUUCACUGUGUUAUUUAGGGAAUGCUGACAAGAAAAAAUAUCUGUAGAUGUUUAAUACAGAUAACCAUCACAGGCCCACCUCCAUAGUACAGGCCCACCUCAUAGUAUAUGUCAGCUACAAUGCAACAUUUUCUUUUUUUUAAAAAAAGUUUUGGAUUGGUUUCAUUUAAUGGCCCGAAAACAUGUGUUAA